GUAGUAUUAGUGAUGGCAGCAGUGGCCCCUCUGGAGUAGCCUCUGUGAAGACACUGGAUACAGAGUGGGAGGCAUGGCCAAGGCUGCAUGCUCAAUGGACCUGGCAGGAGUCAGGAACAGGCAGGAGGCCUGCUGUCCUGGCCACAGCUGCAGCCACCCAGCCAUGGCUGUGGACCUGGACAUCCCUGUGCUCUCUGGUGCCUGGGAAGCCCCCAUACCCUCACAGGCUUGGAAGUGCCU
rnacentral:lncRNA from 1 species